UACGUAGGGUGCAAGCGUUAAUCGGAAUUACUGGGCGUAAAGCGUGCGCAGGCGGUUUUGUAAGUCUGUCGUGAAAGCCCCGGGCUUAACCUGGGAAUUGCGAUGGAGACUGCAAGGCUAGAAUCUGGCAGAGGGGGGUAGAAUUCCACGUGUAGCAGUGAAAUGCGUAGAGAUGUGGAGGAACACCGAUGGCGAAGGCAGCCCCCUGGGUCAAGAUUGACGCUCAUGCACGAAAGCGUGGGGAGCAAACAGG
rnacentral:rRNA from 1 species